AUUGAACGCUGGCGGCAGGCCUAACACAUGCAAGUCGAGCGGCAGCGGGAAAGUAGCUUGCUACUUUUACCGGCGAGCGGCGGACGGGUGAGUAAUGCCUGGGAAAUUGCCCAGUCGAGGGGGAUAACAGUUGGAAACGACUGCUAAUACCGCAUACGCCCUACGGGGGAAAGCAGGGGACCUUCGGGCCUUGCGCGAUUGGAUAUGCCCAGGUGGGAUUAGCUAGUUGGGGAGGUAAUGGCUCACCAAGUCGACGAUCCCUAGCAGGUCUGAGAGGAUGAGCAGCCACCCUGGAACUGAGACACGGUCCAGACACCUACGGGAGGCAGCAGUGGGGAAUAUUGCACAAUGGGGGAAACCCUGAUGCAGCCAUGCCGCGUGGUUGAAGAAGGCCUUCGGAUUGUAAAACACUUUCAGCGAUGAGGAAAGGUCAGUAGCUAAUAUCUGCUGUCUGUGACGUUACUCGCAGAAGAAGCACCGGCUAACUCCGUGCCAGCCGCCGCCGUAACAC
rnacentral:rRNA from 1 species